rnacentral:rRNA from 1 species
AGUGAACGCUGGCGGUAGGCCUAACACAUGCAAGUCGAACGGCAGCACAGUAAGAGCUUGCUCUUACGGGUGGCGAGUGGCGGACGGGUGAGGAAUACAUCGGAAUCUACUUUUUCGUGGGGGAUAACGUAGGGAAACUUACGCUAAUACCGCAUACGACCUACGGGUGAAAGCAGGGGAUCUUCGGACCUUGCGCGAUUGAAUGAGCCGAUGUCGGAUUAGCUAGUUGGCGGGGUAAAGGCCCACCAAGGCGACGAUCCGUAGCUGGUCUGAGAGGAUGAUCAGCCACACUGGAACUGAGACACGGGCCAGACUCCUACGGGAGGCAGCAGUGGGGAAUAUUGGACAAUGGGCGCAAGCCUGAUCCAGCCAUACCGCGUGGGUGAAGAAGGCCUUCGGGUUGUAAAGCCCUUUUGUUGGGAAAGAAAAGCAGCAGGUUAAUACCCCGCUGUUCUGACGGUACCCAAAGAAUAAACACCGGCUAACUUCGU